rnacentral:ncRNA from 2 species
ACGAUCGACUCUGGAGAGCAACCGCGAGCGCGGUUCACCGACGGGGCGAAUCUCUCAGGUGCCAGGACAGAGGGGCGGCG